rnacentral:rRNA from 1 species
AUUGAACGCUGGCGGAAUGCUUUACACAUGCAAGUCGAACGGCAGCACGGACUUCGGUCUGGUGGCGAGUGGCGAACGGGUGAGUAAUACACCGGAACGUGCCCAGUCGUGGGGGAUAACGUAGCGAAAGCUACGCUAAUACCGCAUACGAUCUACGGAUGAAAGCGGGGGAUCGCAAGACCUCGCGCGAUUGGCGCGGCCGAUGGCAGAUUAGGUAGUUGGUGGGGUAAAGGCUCACCAAGCCGACGAUCUGUAGCUGGUCUGAGAGGACGACCAGCCACACUGGGACUGAGACACGGCCCAGACUCCUACGGGAGGCAGCAGUGGGGAAUUUUGGACAAUGGGCGCAAGCCUGAUCCAGCCAUUCCGCGUGCAGGAUGAAGGCCCUCGGGUUGUAAACUGCUUUUGUACAGAACGAAAAGGCUCUGGUUAAUACCUGGGGCUCAUGACGGUACUGUAAGAAUAAGCACCGGCUAACUACGUGCCAGCAGCCGCCGUAA